AUUGAACGCUGGCGGCAUGCCUUACACAUGCAAGUCGAACGGCAGCGCGGGGCAACCUGGCGGCGAGUGGCGAACGGGUGAGUAAUAUAUCGGAACGUGCCCUGGAGUGGGGGAUAACGUAGCGAAAGUUACGCUAAUACCGCAUACGAUCCAAGGAUGAAAGCAGGGGACCUUCGGGCCUUGUGCUCCUGGAGCGGCCGAUAUCUGAUUAGCUAGUUGGUGGGGUAAAGCCUACCAAGGCGACGAUCAGUAGCUGGUCUGAGAGGACGACCAGCCACACUGGAACUGAGACACGGUCCAGACUCCUACGGGAGGCAGCAGUGGGGAAUUUUGGACAAUGGGGGGCAACCCUGAUCCAGCAAUGCCGCGUGUGUGAAGAAGGCCUUC
rnacentral:rRNA from 1 species